GGCUUUUGUUUUAUUGUAGUUUUUCGACGGGCCGCCUUCGAUCAUAUAGCUUGCAAGCGUAAAAGGCGCACCUGA
rnacentral:tRNA from 1 species